rfam:Gossypium raimondii chromosome 8, whole genome shotgun sequence.
GAGCAAAGGCGUCAAUUAAUUAUUGAUGGCGUGAUUUGCAUUGAAGGUUGGCAAUAUCAUUGAGCGAUUCUCCGUGCCCAUUAACUUCAUUUUCGUUUUGAUCGUGGCCUCGAACAAGUCGCUACAUC